rnacentral:rRNA from 1 species
UACGUAGGGUGCAAGCGUUGUCCGGAAUUAUUGGGCGUAAAGAGCUCGUAGGCGGUUUGUCGCGUCUGCUGUGAAAUCCCAAGGCUUAACCCUGGGCCUGCAGUGGGUACGGGCAAACUAGAGUGCGGUAGGGGAGAUCGGAAUUCCUGGUGUAGCGGUGAAAUGCGCAGAUAUCAGGAGGAACACCGGUGGCGAAGGCGGAUCUCUGGGCCGUAACUGACGCUGAGGAGCGAAAGCAUGGGUAGCGAACAGG